GAUAAACAACAAUGUGGCACAUUUGUACAAUGAAAUAUUAGCCACAAAAUGGGAUGAACUACAUUUAUAAUAUGGACAACCUCAAAAAUAGUAUGUCUAGUGAAGAACCAGACACAAAAGAUGAGAUUUUCUAUUACUCCAUUAAUACAAAAAUAUCUAGGAAAGGCAAAUUCAUAGAAACAGAAAGUAGAUCCCUGGUUACCUGGAGCUGGAGUUAGGGAUGAGGAUUAACUGUAAAAGACAAAAGAGAUCUAAUUGGGGUGACAGAAAUACCCUAACACUGGAUUGUGGUGUUAUUGGAUGUGAUGUAAGAAAUCAAUAUUUGGUCUUUGUCCCUGGUUCCUGGGACAUGACUCCUAAAAUCCUUGGUGUCUCUGGGGUGAUGAGUGGUCUAGAUGGCUUCAGGAAGGAGACUAAUAGCCAAAUAACUCAUGUUGGGGGCCCCUAGAUGGCUUUAGGAAGGAGGCUAGUAAGCACGACUACAGGGUUGUGCUGACCUCCAGAGAGGACAGAGGAGCUAACAGUGAGUUAAUCACCACUGGCUAAUGAUUUACUCAAUCAGAACUACGUAAUGGAUGCUCCAUAAAACCCCAAACAUCAAGGCUCAGGGAGCUUCCAGACUGGUGAAAACACCAAGGUGUUGAGAGAGUGACACGCCCAGAGAGAGGAUGGGAACUCAGCGCCCCUCCUGCAUACCUUGCCCCUAUGCCCACACGAUUGCUCCUUUACCAUAAACCAGUCAUAGUACGUUCCUGCAUUCUCCGAAUCCCUCUAGUGAGUUAUCACACCUGAGGAGGGGGAUGUUGCAGGAAUCCCCAUGUAUAGCUCGUCAGUGAGAAGUACAGGUGACAACCUGAGAUUUGAGACUGGCCUCUAACAUGAGGACUGUCUGUGUGACUGAGCCAAGGAACUGCUGCAGGGGGCAGGCGGAUUGGCUGUGGCGGGGGCCGGGGCACUGCUCCUGGAGGAGGGGAGCUGCGUGCCUUUGACGGUUUGGCCCCCUGCGGCGGGCGCAGAGCACUCUGACUAUCGCAAGAACCAGAGCGUCCAGUUUAGCCGCCAGUUGGGUCGUCGUGCUCGCUGCCUACAGACGCUCGGAAGCUCCAGCCGGCCUGCGUCCCUAUCUGCCCGCCGAGUCGCCGGUCGGCUGGUGGGGAAGGCAGAUGUGGACACAAGUAUCCACGCUACAAUGGCUGCGUGUGAGGAACGUGUCGAUCAGAGGUACACUGCGUGCAUUGGGUGUAACCGGGGCCACAGUGGAAAGACUGCAAAUGCAAGAGGAAGCUCUGGGAGCCUGUACUCUGAAAGGUGCUGGAGACAGAGCCUGUGAGUAUGAUCCGGGACUCCAGAGCCCCUAACCCACCACCACCAUGGUAGAAAAAGGUGCCAAAGGCAUGCUGGCAGUGGAAGAGGCAGGGAUUGCAUCAGUGUCGCCUGGAGCUGGCGGAAGUGUCGAUGAGUGGAGAUGCACACACUCCACUCCAAGUGUUCACCCCAGGAUGGCGGCGGCUUAGGGACCUGCGGACCCCUCUUCGCCAGAACAGAUGUCGUGGAGGAUGAUCAGCCAGCCCACCCACACAGCUGUGGAAGGCACGUCCCGUAGCCUGCAUCCUGCUGGGCCUGGGGAAGCGUGGGCACAGGGCGAGGCAAUCUCCACCCUGGAGGUCACGCAUGAGGCCCAUGACGACCAGUCAGAGAACGGUGCCGUGCCCAGCGAGGCCACCGAGAAGAACCAUAGCUGCCAACAGGGCAACUGGCGCAACCAGAUCGAGUUUAUACUGACGAGUGUGGGCUAUGCCGUGGGCCUGGGCAAUGUCUGGGACUUCCCAUACAUCUGCUAUCGCAACGAGGGAGGUACCCAGUGAGCCCAGGGCAGGGACCACCCAUGUGGAUAGAGCCCAGCCACCAGGGCCCAGCCACCCCCUUCCGGCACAGACCCCACUCAAGACAAGCUGGCCUCUGGCCCUAAUCUCCUUUGCCCCCACCCCUGGCUUAGGUACCCUUUACCCCCUGACCUUGGCAGCCUGAUCCCUCGAGGGGAGAAAAGUUAGGAAAGCAACCCAACCUCCCAAGUCUCAGUUUUAUACCCCCUGCAUUUCAACAGCUGCCCGCAAAAUGAGUCGGGGGAUAUUUGAGGACCCCAUCAGCUAAUGUAUGUGAAAUUGCUUGGUUAAAUCAUCAAUUCUCACCUGAACAUGGCAGCUCUAGGACCUGGGUUCAGCUCAGAGCAGAUUUCCUGGGAACCCCUGUCAAGUUCAAAGCAGGCCGUAGGCAGUGUGCCUCAGACUGAGGCUCCAGUCCAGGGCAUGGCACACCCUCCUGGAAGCCCAGCCAAUUGCACAGGUUCUGCUGUCGGGUUCUGAGCAGGAAAAGGGUGUGCUCCCCCAAAGCCGGCCCUGAGCCAGCCCUCUCCCUGCCCACCAGCCUUCCUGAUCCCCUACCUCAUCAUUCUCAUCUUCUGCGGGAUGCCCCUCUUCUUCAUGGAACUCUCCUUAGGCCAGUUUGCAAGUCAGGGCUGCCUGGGGGUCUGGAGGAUCAGCCCCAUGUUCAAAGGUGAGGCCCGGAUGGGGUACACACACAUACGGGCCUCUGGGGGCCGUGCUGACUCCCCCCAUCUGUAUAAAGACUGCCAGCGCCUAUGGAACCUGGGUGUUGGCCCCAGGUCCACAUCAAUGGCCAAGGCCAGGGACACAUGCUGGAAUCCAUUGUUUACUUGGCCUCUACCCUCUCCUCCUACCACGUGCACACAGAAAAGCCCUUUGCCCGCUCCCCCACUUAGCCCCCAGCUCGCUUCUGCCAAGGCCUGUGAGUAUGAUCCGGGACUCCAGAGCCUCUAACCCACCACCACCAUGGUAGAAAAAGAUGCCAAAGGCAUGCUGGUGAGUACAGGGACCAGACUGCAGCGAGGGGGUGGGGGGCAUGAGCACCGUCCAUCCCUUCUGGGGCCUGCUGUCAGC